rnacentral:rRNA from 1 species
UACGAAGGGGGCUAGCGUUGUUCGGAAUCACUGGGCGUAAAGGGCGCGUAGGCGGCUUUAUAAGUCGGGGGUGAAAGCCUGUGGCUCAACCACAGAAUUGCCUUCGAUACUGUAGAGCUUGAGACCGGAAGAGGUAAGUGGAACUGCGAGUGUAGAGGUGAAAUUCGUAGAUAUUCGCAAGAACACCAGUGGCGAAGGCGGCUUACUGGUCCGGUUCUGACGCUGAGGCGCGAAAGCGUGGGGAGCGAACGGG